rnacentral:rRNA from 1 species
UACGUAGGGUGCAAGCGUUGUCCGGAAUUAUUGGGCGUAAAGAGCUCGUAGGUGGUUUGUCGCGUUGUCCGUGAAAACUCACAGCUUAACUGUGGGCGUGCGGGCGAUACGGGCAGACUGGAGUACUGCAGGGGAGACUGGAAUUCCUGGUGUAGCGGUGGAAUGCGCAGAUAUCAGGAGGAACACCGGUGGCGAAAGCGGCUCUCUGGCCCGGUUCUGACGCUGAGGCGCGAAAGCGUGGGGAGCAAACAGG